rnacentral:rRNA from 1 species
UACGAAGGUCCCAAGCGUUAUCCGGAUUUAUUGGGUUUAAAGGGUGCGUAGGCGGGUUAUUAAGUCAGUGGUGAAAGCCUACAGCUUAACUGUAGAAUUGCCAUUGAUACUGAUAAUCUUGAGUAUGAUUGAGGUGGGCGGAAUGUGUCAUGUAGCGGUGAAAUGCUUAGAUAUGACACAGAACACCGAUUGCGAAGGCAGGUUACUACUAAUGGAUUGACGCUGAUGGACGAAAGCGUGGGUAGCGAACAGG